rnacentral:rRNA from 1 species
GGUUCGAUUAUGGCUCAGAUUGAACGCUAGCGGGAUGCCUUACAUGCAAGUCGAACGGCAGCACGGACUUGGUCUGGUGGCGAGUGGCGAACGGGUGAGUAAUGUAUCGGAACGUGCCUAGUAGCGGGGGAUAACUACGCGAAAGCGUAGCCAAUACCGCAUACGCCCUUCGGGGGAAAGCGGGGGGACCUUUCGGGCCUCGCAAUUAUUAGAGCGGCCGAUAUCGGAUUAGCUAGUUGGUGGGGUAACGGCUCACCAAGGCGACGAUCCGUAGCUGGUUUGAGAGGACGACCAGCCACACACUAACCGAGACACGGCCCAGACUCCUAUGGAGGCAGCAGUGGGGAAUUUUGGACAAUGGGAAACCCUGAUCCAGCCAUCCCGCGUGUGCGAUGAAGGCCUUCGGGUUGUAAAAGCACUUUUUGGCAGGAAAGAAACGGCACGGGAUAAUACCCCGUGCAACUGACGGUACCUGCAGAAUAAGCACCGACUAACUACGUGCCAGCCGCGGUAAUACGUAGGGUGCAAGCGUUAAUCGGAAUUACUGGGCGUAAAGCGUGCGCAGGCGGUUCGAAAGAAAGAUGUGAAAUCCCAGAGCUUAACUUUGGAACUGUAUUUUUAACUACCGAGCUAGAGUGUGUCAGAGGAGGUGGAAUUCCGCGUGUAGCAGUGAAAUGCGUAGAUAUGCGGAGGAACACCGAUGGCGAAGGCAGCCUCCUGGGAUAACACUUGACGCUCAUGCACGAAAGCGUGGGAGCAAACAGGAUUAGAUACCCUGGUAGUCCACGCCCUAAACGAUGUCAACUAGCUGUUGGGGCCUUGGCCUUGGUAGCGUAGCUAACGCGUGAAGUUGACCGCCUGGGAGUACGGUCGCAAGAUUAAAACUCAAAGGAAUUGACGGGGACCCGCACGCGGUGGAUGAUGAUUAAUCUGAUGCAACGCGAAAAACCUUACCUACCCUGACAUGUCUGGAAUCCCGAAGAGAUUUGGGAGUGCUCGCAAGAGAACCGGAACACAGGUGCUGCAUGGCUGUCGUCAGCUCGUGUCGUGAGAUGUUGGGUUAUUUCGCAACGAGCGCAACCCUUUGUCAUUAGUUGCUACGAAAGGGCACUCUAAUGAGAUCGCUGCGACAAACCGGAGGAAGGUGGGGAUGACGUCAAGUCCUCAUGGCCCUUGCAUAUGGGCAGGGCUUCACACGUCAUACAAUGGUCGGGACAGAGGGGUCGCCAACCCGCGAGGGGGAGCCAAUCCCAGAAACCCGAUCGUAGUCCGGAUCGCAGUCUGCAACUCGACUGCGUGAAGUCGGAAUCGCUAGUAAUCGCGGAUCAGCAUGUCGCGGUGAAUACGUUCCCGGGUCUUGUACACACCGCCCGUCACACCAUGGGAGUGGGUUUUACCAGAAGUAGUUAGGCCUAACCGUGGUGAGGGCGAUUACCACGGUAGGAUUCAUGACUGGGUGAAGUCGUAACAAGGUAGC